AAUUAUAUAGUUUAAUACAAAACAUUAUAUUUUCAAUAUAAAAAUAAUUUUACUUGUUUAUAAUUC
rnacentral:tRNA from 1 species